rnacentral:rRNA from 1 species
UACGUAGGGGGCAAGCGUUGUCCGGAAUCACUGGGCGUAAAGCGCAUGUAGGCGGGAUAUUAAGUCAGGUGUGAAAACUAUGGGCUCAACCUGUAGAUUGCAUCUGAAACUGGUAUUCUUGAGUAUUGGAGAGGAAAGUGGAAUUCCUAGUGUAGCGGUGAAAUGCGUAGAUAUUAGGAGGAACACCAGUGGCGAAGGCGACUUUCUGGCCAAAAACUGACGCUGAGAUGCGAAAGCGUGGGGAGCAAACAGGAUUAGAUA